rnacentral:rRNA from 1 species
UUGAUGUUGUUGCUACUUGGUUACUGUGGUAUUCUAGAGCUAAUACUGGCGUCCAAACCCCACUUUCGGGAAGGGGUGUAUUUAUUAAAAAAAUACCCCCCUCCGGGUUGCUUGGUGAUUCGGUGAACUUCUCAAAUCGCCGAAUCUUGUGCUUCGGAUGCUUUUUCAAAUAUCUGCCCUGACAACUGUCCUUGGUACGAUAGGGGCCUGGCCUACCUGGGCUUUGUAACGGGGAAUAAAAAUUUCGAUUCCAUUCAGGGAGCCUGACCUGAGCUACCACUACCACAUCAAGGCGAAGGGCGCGCAAAUUAAAAUUACCCGACCCUGAGAGGUAGAGGCAAUAACAAAAAAUACCAGGCCCUUUUGGUUUUUGUUGUUAUUGGGAUUACAAUUAAUUUCCCUUCCUGUCGAACAAUUGGAGGGGGCUCUGGUGGUAA